rnacentral:rRNA from 1 species
CCGCAUACGUCCUGAGGGAGAAAGUGGGGGAUCUUCGGACCUCACGCUAUCAGAUGAGCCUAGGUCGGAUUAGCUAGUUGGUGGGGUAAAGGCCUACCAAGGCGACGAUCCGUAACUGGUCUGAGAGGAUGAUCAGUCACACUGGAACUGAGACACGGUCCAGACUCCUACGGGAGGCAGCAGUGGGGAAUAUUGGACAAUGGGCGAAAGCCUGAUCCAGCCAUGCCGCGUGUGUGAAGAAGGUCUUCGGAUUGUAAAGCACUUUAAGUUGGGAGGAAGGGCAGUAAGUUAAUACCUUGCUGUUUUGACGUUACCAACAGAAUAAGCACCGGCUAACUUCGUGCCAGCAGCCGCGGUAAUACGAAGGGUGCAAGCGUUAAUCGGAAUUACUGGGCGUAAAGCGCGCGUAGGUGGUUCAGCAAGUUGGAUGUGAAAUCCCCGGGCUCAACCUGGGAACUGCAUCCAAAACUACUGAGCUAGAGUACGGUAGAGGGUGGUGGAAUUUCCUGUGUAGCGGUGAAAUGCGUAGAUAUAGGAAGGAACACCAGUGGCGAAGGCGACCACCUGGACUGAUACUGACACUGAGGUGCGAAAGCGUGGGGAGCAAACAGG